rnacentral:tRNA from 1 species
UAUACAUACAUACGAUUUUGAAAAUCGAAACAGGUUAAAACCAUGUAUAU